rnacentral:rRNA from 1 species
CCAGUUGGAAACGACUGUUAAUACCUCAUAAUAUCUGUGUAUUAAAGGUGGCUUUCGGGCUGUCGCAGAUGGAUGAGCCUGCGUUGGAUUAGCUAGUUGGUGGGGUUAGGGCCCACCAAGGCUACGAUCCAUAGCUGAUUUGAGAGGAUGAUCAGCCACAUUGGUACUGAGACACGGCCCAAACUCCUACGGGAGGCAGCAGUGGGGAAUAUUGGACAAAGGGGGCAACCCUGAUCCAGCAAAGCCAUGUGUGUGAAGAAGGCCC